CCGAGGGCAUGCAGGGGCCAGAUGCCCACUUGUGCCCUGUGCCUGGGUGAGUGAGGUGUGCAAGGUGGGCCUCUGUUCUGCUGCCAGCCCAGCCAAUGAUGGCAAGGACAGAGGGUUCAAAGCUCUGACCCCCAUUGUAAACAGGGGGCAGAGGAGCCGCCCACCUGAGCAGCAUCAGAUCCAUGCAAAGUGCCAGGUGGAGGUGAAACACAGCCAGCGACACGACUGUUGGUAUUUCGGGUCAACUCACCUUGAGCUGGAGGGAGCAGUCAGCCUCCAAGAAGGCACGACGUGACACAGUCCAGACCCCUUGCCCGCCUCUGCUGGCGUUUCCUCAUCAGCAAAAUGUGGAGAUAACAGCGCCUACCUAAUUGGGAUGCUGUGAGGAUUGAGAGAAUACACAGAAACAGCUUAGAACACUACCUCAAUUGUUCUACACACACCUGAGUUGGCAAGUGUGUGAAGUAACCUCCUCCGAGUCCUGGACUGUGGACAGUGAUGCCACCUUUUGGCACAACUCCCCUAGAAUUUAAGGAGACCAAGACAUUGUGAAAACCAAGUGUCUCCCACCUUGCCAGGACCUAUAAAGUCAAGGGCGGUGCUGGCAUAUUUUGUUCCUGUGACAGGGGCUGAUGAGGUCACUGUGGGAAUCACAGCAAGUCCAAGUCCAUGAGGCUUAGGGAGAAGGCUGUGCAUCACCCUCAUGGGCCGGGAGCUCCAGGAACAGCUUUCCCAGAUUUACGCUGAGGGAGUCCUGAAUCCAGGAAGGAGGUUCCAUGGCCACCUGGCACCAUGUGUCAAUCUCCCAGGUCUGUGAGUACUCUGGUCUCAGCCAGCUGAGGAAGCCGUGGGUCAACAUGAAAAUGCACACCCAGGAAGCCAUCUGCCCCAAGGAGUGAGUAGCUGCUGGACUAGUCCUCUCCUACACAUGGCUGAUACCAGGUGAUCUGUGAAUCUGGCGUCACAUGCUCCCUCAAUCCCGGAGCCAUCCUGUGAAAGAAAUGGGCCAAGGUUCAAAGGCCAUCUACAGAGAGGACCUCCCCCUGGGCCCCAGGAGCCCUGUGCUCUCUGGCAGGCACAACCUAGUACUCAUUUCAAAGGACACAAGGAGCCUAAACCACCCAC
rnacentral:lncRNA from 1 species